rnacentral:rRNA from 1 species
GACGAACGCUGGCGGCGUGCUUAACACAUGCAAGUCGAACGAUGAAGCUAGAGCUUGCUCUGGUGGAUUAGUGGCGAACGGGUGAGUAACACGUGAGUAACCUGCCCCGAACUCUGGGAUAACUGCUGGAAACGGUAGCUAAUACCGGAUAUGACCAAUGAAGGCAUCUUCUGUGGGUGGAAAGAAUUUCGGUUGGGGAUGGACUCGCGGCCGAUCAGCUUGUUGGUGAGGUAACGGCUCACCAAGGCGACGCCGGGUAGCCGGCCUGAGAGGGUGAUCGGCCACACUGGGACGGAGACACGGACCAGACUCCUACGGGAGGCAGCAGUGGGGAAUAUUGCACAAUGGGCGCAAGCCUGAUGCAGCAACGCCGCGUGAGGGACGACGGCCUUCGGGUUGUAAACCUCUUUUAGUAGGGAAGAAGCGAAAGUGACGGUACCUGCAGAAAAAGCACCGGCUAACUACGUGCCAGCCGCCGCAGUAA